rnacentral:lncRNA from 1 species
UCCGUUUUGGCUGAUUUAAAAAAAAUAAAAUAAAAAAAACCAAUCGCAGGCCCUUACAUGUUAGUAGAACCCGUGAACAGUUCAAAACACAGAACAAAGUUGGUUUUUAACUCACGUUUUUUUUGACCGACUCUUAGCAAAUUUGUGGAGGAGACUACCUCUUUUAGUGUAAAAACCUUCUAAGAAAUUAGGGAUAAUUAGAUUAUGUUUAUCCUAUAAAAUUUUUAAUGAGUUUUUUAAAUUUUUUUAUUUAAAAAAAAUGUACUAAUUGCGGGUUAUCACGUGUCAACGAGAUCCGCAAACAGUACAAAACCCCAACAAUAGUCAAUUCUUAAUAUGGGCU